rnacentral:rRNA from 1 species
CCUACGGGGGGCAGCAGUGGGGAAUAUUGGACAAUGGGGGCAACCCUGAUCCAGCCAUGCCGCGUGUGUGAAGAAGGCCCUCGGGUUGUAAAGCACUUUCAGUGAGGAAGAACGCCUGGUGGUUAAUACCCAUCAGGAAAGACAUCACUCACAGAAGAAGCACCGGCUAACUCCGUGCCAGCAGCCGCGGUAAUACGGAGGGUGCGAGCGUUAAUCGGAAUUACUGGGCGUAAAGCGCGCGUAGGUGGCUUGAUAAGCCGGUUGUGAAAGCCCCGGGCUCAACCUGGGAACGGCAUCCGGAACUGUCAAGCUAGAGUGCAGGAGAGGAAGGUGGAAUUCCCGGUGUAGCGGUGAAAUGCGUAGAGAUCGGGAGGAAUACCAGUGGCGAAGGCGGCCUUCUGGACUGACACUGACGCUGAGGUGCGAAAGCGUGGGUAGCAAACAGGAUUAGAUACCCUGGUAGUC